rnacentral:lncRNA from 1 species
UAUCAUGCACCGUGUGCCAUUUUUUCUCUACUUCCGGUAAGAAGUAAACAUCGCAGUUUGCUGUCAAAUUUUGUGGAACACCACUCUGUUCAAAGAAUUACUGGUUAUUGUCGAGUGAAUCGUGUAUGAGCUGAGGAGAAUUUUGCUAUUUGCGACGUGAAAGACGAACGUAGAAUACCAACAUUGUGUGAAAAAAAGUGUAGAUAGUUAAUUUCUGCAGCCAGAAAUAAAGGAGAACAAAUGUAUGUUAGACCUGAGAACAUUGUGUGCUAUGAGUGUAGAAAAAUUACUGCAACCCGAAUGCCACCCGAAUCUACUUGGAGAUGCAAACGGUACCUCUAUAACGUAGCUAAACGGACAAAUUCAUCUGACUUCUUUUCAUUCCAAAUGCCUGUUCUGUGGUACAGAUGCCAAACAAAAUGACAAAUAGGCAUAUGAUGACUUCAAAAUUUCAGUCAACAAUAAAAGAAAAGUGGAAGCGAAGUUUUCUGUUCACUCGAGUCCGUACAUGAUCUAACAGCAGUUGGUGCAAGAUAUCAUCAAAAGUGUAGCACACGUUUCAGAACAGGGAUGUCAAGUUCCGACUCAACAUCAAACAACUCAAAAUACUGUAAAACGUAGUAAAGGUAGACUAACAAAAGAAUCAUCUGAAGAGGCAUUUUUGAAAACCAUGCGUUAUUUUGAAAACACUGAAAGUGAGCAAAUAACUUAAAUUAUUAAAUGAUCCCAGGCAAAAGUCUUUGUAAAUAAACACUCUUUACAUGAUGACAUUGAAACAGCUGGUAGUAUAUCAUUCAUAUGUUUGUACAAAGGUAACAAAUGAAACAUUAAACACAUUGAGGUACAGAAAAUUCAUUUCGAAGGCAACAAGCACAUCGGUAGUAAAGAUACAGACCCUAACUCCUACCGAGGCAACUGCAAAGUUUCAUAGUUUUAGAGUGCACUGCCACUAAAGUAAGACAUGGAUUGGAAAGGAAACGAACCCUCUUGACUGGGGAUGGUAUAAACGUGGUGAUAAACUUGUUCCUUGGCACAGGUUGCUCUAAUAGGAUGGCAGUAGAUGUCAUGACAUUAACACUUAACUGACUUUUAUAAUCUUGAGAGAGCAAUGAAAAGUUGUUCAAACUCCUGAAUUUACAGUUAACAUGUUUUAAAGAAUCAUGUCUUAUUUUAAUUAUUACUAAGGACAACAUACUUACUUUAUAAUAGAGCAUAUUUUUACAGUAUAUCGCAUCGCAGAGUUUUGUCCUCGCAUUUUUAUACAUAACGGCUUUGUGUACAUUUUCUGUUAGCUGAAAAUUGUAGUUUAGUGUCGAUUUUAAAACAGUUUUGUCAUUUUACUGUGGUGACCUGUUCUAUAUGUACUGUAGUACAGUCACUGUUGAUCUGGGAUUCUUUUCCUUAAUGUUUCUUAAUAUACUAUUGUUGAUAUUAUAAAAUUUAUUACAUUUAGUGCGAGUUUCAAGGAAAUAGUUUAAAGAUAUUGCAUGCACGUUUAUUGAUGGGUGGACCAUCCCGCUUAGCUCAUUAGGAAGAGCACCGAUCUACGGAUCGCGGGGUCGUGAGUUGGAUCCUUGGGCGGGCCGUAUGUUCGCAAUGACGAUUUGAUAAAAGAAACUGUGUCUGAAAUCAUUCAUCCUCCACUUCUGAUUCAUGUGGGGUAAAUCUAUAGUGUAAAUUAAUGCAUUUAUUAGUAAAUGUCACAACAUAGCUUAGUAUCAGCUUUAAUUUAUAUGAUAUUUUAUAUAAUCAAUGCCUCUGAUUGAAGAAAUAAACCAGCGUAUAGGUUUAAACUAAUGUAUGUUGCCUAAUGAAUGAACCUCUUGAUUCGUCUGAAUCAUUCAAUUGCAAAGAGGGUGCCCUUCAUAAUCUCAUUUUUUUAGAUUUUCCAAUUGGAAUUUUUUUGAGGACUUUUUUUCUAAAAUGCUGAAAUAUUUAACGAUUAUAAAACAAUAAAAACAUUUCAUGUUGGAAUUUGUUUAACCUUUUGACAUAAUAUGCGGUAAUAUGACCGGCCUAAUAUUCAAUUAUAAAUUUACAACACAUGUAUGUAGGUUAUUUGCUGGUCGUGUUAGAACACAACAACAAUUAUAAGGUCCAUAUCUGGAUUCAUAUUUUUAAAAAAGACUUUAUUUCAAACUUCUUAACCUGGCAUUUUUCUGUUAGCUUUAGCUUUUGGAUUUCUAGCUGAAGUUAUUUUAGACAAAUGUAUCAUGGUCGGAUGGAAAUUUCUUAAAACUAAAUAAUGAUUUAUAACGAUAGAAACAGUCAUGAACAAUCUUUUAAAUGACUAAAUACAUAUUUUCACUUUCCUAAAUUUAUUGUUUAACACUUUCGUCAUAAUUGCGUUUUUUGCUCAGACAGCCCAAAACUUACAUCACUUCGUAGACUCUAUAUUGUGUAAUACAUGUCGAUGUUAUGCUUUAGCUUUGUUUAUAUUCAUAAAUGAGCCGCGCCAUGAUUAGCGGCCUAACAAUUUGCGGGUGUAAAACUUUCAGAUAAAUCAUGGAGAAAUAUUGAUGAAUAAGACUAGAGUUCUCCUAUUCCAUUAGUUUCACACCAUAACUUUGUUUGUCUCUGAAGUGACAUAUAGUCAUCAUAAAAUCAUAUAUAUUUUAUGCAAAUGUCAACAGAAUUAUUCAAUGAAAUUGCAUUAAACUUUUUAAUAUCCAUUUGUAUCUCAAACCUAUCAUUUACCUAUUUUUUUUCAAACUGAUAUAAUCAAAAUACUUGAUUUUUAUGAUUUAUUCAACUGUUAUAAAUCAGCUGAGGAUAUGUUAAAAGCAUCUAAUUGCAAAAUGUCAAGUAUAAAAUAAAAUUUUAAUGUCAAUUAGAAUGCCGCAGAAUUUUGUUUUAAUUAAAAGGAUCAUUGAUCGCGCGACUGCUUUUGUAACUGGCAUAGAAAUAAUUCUUCUAUUUGCGUACUGUUCAGUGAAUUUUAGAAUGAAAUAUAUUUGAUAAAUGUACAGUGAAAAAUAUCGAAUUCAUUUUUCACUAAUGUUAAAACAAGCAAAUCCGUGAACUCAAUAAAUCUUAUUGUUUGUUAUAACUAGUGAAUGUCUGAAACACUGAAAUAAACAAAAUAUAAUAACCCAUAUUCAUAUUUAUUAUGACGCAAUGUAACUGUAAAAUUAAACAUAUUAUAAGUAAUCUUGUGGGUCAUUUUCAUUUUUUUUCGCAGGUCAUUUUCAUUUUCAUAUGAAUUAUCAUCUAACAUUACUUCAUUGAGAAAGGCUCAGAUAAUUGUUGAAAACAAUGUGAUUGAUAAUACUACAUUUCAUAACAUUUAUUUUAUAUUAUUUGAAUCUUGACAUCUUUAAGUAAUGAAUAAGCGUUAGCAAUUAUUGAAUCUUGACAUCUUUAUGUAAUGCAUAAGCAUUAAUCCAUGACAUUCAUUUUAGCAUUAAUUGAAUCUUGACAUCUCUAAGUAAUGAAUAAGCGUUAAUCCAUGACAUUUAUUUUAGCAUUAUUUAAAUCUUGACAUCUUAAGUAAUACAUAAGCGUUAAACCAUAAUAUUUAGUUAUGCAUUGUUUUAAUCUUGACAUAUCUAGGUAAUAAAUAAACGUUUACCCAUAUCAUUCUUUUUAUCAUUGUUCGAAUCUUCAUAUUUGUAAGUAAUAAAUAAGCGGCAAUUCGUAAUA